rnacentral:rRNA from 1 species
UACGUAGGGUGCGAGCGUUAAUCGGAAUUACUGGGCGUAAAGCGCGCGCAGGCGGCGCCGCAAGUCAGGCGUGAAAUCCCCGAGCUUAACUUGGGAAUGGCGCUUGAAACUACGGUGCUGGAGUGUGGCAGAGGGAGGUGGAAUUCCACGUGUAGCGGUGAAAUGCGUAGAGAUGUGGAGGAACACCAAUGGCGAAGGCAGCCUUCUGGGCCAACACUGACGCUCAUGCACGAAAGCGUGGGGAGCAAACAGG